GUGAGGAAUAUUGGACAAUGGAUGGAAAUCUGAUCCAGCCAUGCCGCGUGCAGGAAGACGGCCCUAUGGGUUGUAAACUGCUUUUGUAUGGGAGCAAUAAGAUCUACGUGUAGAUUGAUGAGAGUACCAUACGAAUAAGCACCGGCUAACUCCGUGCCAGCAGCCGCGGUAAUACGGAGGGUGCAAGCGUUAUCCGGAUUUAUUGGGUUUAAAGGGUGCGUAGGCGGUUUGAUAAGUCAGCGGUGAAAUAUUUCAGCUUAACUGGAAGGGUGCCGUUGAUACUGUCGAGCUUGAAUUUAGUUGCUGUGGGUGGAAUGUGUGGUGUAGCGGUGAAAUGCAUAGAUAUCACACAGAAUAUCGAUUGCGAAGGCAGCUCACAAAGCUAAUAUUGACGCUGAUGCACGAAAGUGUGGGGAUCAAACAGGAUUAGAAACCCGUGUAGUCC
rnacentral:rRNA from 1 species